GGCCGACUAGCUCAGUUGGUUAGAGCGUGGUGCUAAUAUGUAAGUGUACUCUUACGUAAUCACGCCAAGGUCGUCGGUUCGAUCCCGGCGUUGGCCA